rnacentral:lncRNA from 1 species
UCGACUUUUUCUUUAGUUUUUGUUUUAAUUUGUAAUUUAUCAACCGUUUCGGACUUACGGCUUUGGUUUUGUUUUGUUUUUGUGUGUUUUAGAAUUUAUUAUAUUAUAGUUAUGGUUUUAAAGGUUUUUUUUUUUGCUUAUUAGUUAUUGGUAGAUUAAUUCAACUUAUAUAAGUAGAUCAAUUUUACAUAUGAGGGCCAACCAUUUUGCACACAUUUAAACAUUAUUACAUCGUAAACUUAUCAUAAUAUCAUUAUCAUCAUGCUCCUUCCUUCUUACUGUUUCAGCAUCCAUUCUUCAUCGAAUUCCGUGUGUUUUUAUACAACAUUUAUUCUUUCUUAUUUUAAAACAAUCUUUAGUAGAACCAAUUGCCAAAUGUUAAUUUCUUCGUUUUGUUUUUUCUUUACUUUUGAAAAUAAUUUAAGCUCGAAUUUUUGUGGUGUUGAAUAAAAAACAUACGCAUACGAGUAUUAAUAAUGUAUUCUUUUUUUGUAUCACUAAGUCAACCAAUUGCUCACGUUUCAGAAUUUCUUGGAGUUUUGUUUUUUCAGCUUCUUAAGAACUAAAUGAUCCAUUCGAUCCAUUUACCCAGCAAUGGGUACCACGUCCAGAUUCCAUCCUCUACAGAUUUCCUUCUUCUUUUGGCUAUAAAAAUUAAAUUACAUGUUUUUGUUUGUUGUUUAGAUGUUUGUUGUUGUUGAACUUUUUGCACUAUUUUGUUGUUGCUGUUGUUGGGUGUGUUGUGUUAUUUUCGAUAAUUUUAAAUUACAACAAAUGAAUGUGUUAAUUUUUGGUAUAUUUUUUUAUUUUAGUAUAGUAUUUUUUUAUGUUUUACAAAGAUUCUUUCGUUUCGUAUCGUAUCAUUUUUUGUUUUUUGUUUUUGCUUUGUGGUGCUUGGCUAAGGCGACUUUUGUUUGGUUGUUUUUCACUUUUGUUUCGUUUCUCGUUUCUCUCUUCUCAUUUUUUCUGUUCUUUACACUUUUUGCAAUAUAUUUUCUUAUGCUUUUCUUUCUUUCCAUCGCAUUUUCACAUUUCUCAUUUACAUACACAAAAAGAGGAACAAUUUGCAUUUUGCAUUUGUAAUGGAAAUUUAAAUGAAAAUAAUAUUAACAAAAUUAGAAUAAAAAAUCUAAAGCGAUUUGCAAUUGACGAUAGAAAAUGAUAGAGAAAAAAUACCAUGUUUUAGUCAUCUUUAAGUUUGGUUUUUUUAGUAAAAAUUUGUGCUAGAAAUUCGGCUAUUAAAAUUAUUUAAGUUCGUACACAUCGAUCGAUCGCUUGAGAAAAAGUUUUACAUUUCAUUUUCAUUUUAUCGUUUUUCGUUUUGUUUUUUUCCUUUCGUUCGUUACAUUUUGUUUUGUUUUUCUUAUUUUUUUGUUUUGUUUUGGUUCGUUUUAACAUAUUCAGUCUUUCAGCUUUCAACACAUAAAUAAAUUAAUUAAAUUAAUUUAUUUGGAUUAGAUUUAAGAAAACAUUUCUGCUGUUUGCUGUUCUGCCUGUUUGUUGCCUGUAAAUAAUUUCGAGUUCUAUUGCAUUUAUGUGGUAAUUUCUCUCUUCGCUUGUCCUUGAUUCUGCCUUACGAUCCAUCCAUCCAUACAUAUGUCCGCCCUGUCCUCUCCUUCAUAAGUCCAGUUAAAGUUUAUAGCCAAAAACACGACAAAGUUCGUUUGUCUCUCUUGAGAAAAUUUCGAAAAAAUUUCACGUUUUUCUUUUUUGUCAAAGUUGGUUGUAAAAGCCAAAAGUUUUGCUUUUCUUUGCUUUCUUAUAUAAUCUUAGUGCUACGAUUUAUGGUUUUUUUUUACAUUUAAUGAGAGUAAUUAUUAUAUAUUUUAAUAUAUUUCUCCUCAAAUUCCUCCUUCCAUCCAUCCAUUGCGCGCAUUCUCCAUAAACUGCUUUUCGUUUUUUUUUUUCCAUAAUUUUAAAAACUUUUCAAGUGGACGAAGCAUCUCUUUCGUUCUCUUUUUGUUAUUCAAAAUUUUGUUUUUGAUUGAUUUUAAAUUUAAUCAUUAUAUAUAUAUAAGAAAAAUAUAAAAUUUUGUGUCUAAAUUCAGUUGUUUUUAGGAGUUUUUUCUCUUUCAAACUAAAAGAACUUUCCACACAGGUUUUUUCUUGCUUUUUUCAAAUAGUUGCUCUGUUUUUUAUAAUUAUUCUUUUAUAUUUUUUUUUUGGGUGGGGCUUACGUUAUCAUAGUUCUAUAUAGUCUUUCUUUCUUUCGUUCAUUGCUUUUCUUUUUCUAUACGCCAACAUAAAAAUUUGUUGUCAAAAUUGUUUCGUUUUUUGUUUGUUUUCGAUAUUUUCAUUCGAUUUUUUUUUUCUUACUGUAUAAACCGGUCUCUUGUUAAGGCAUCUGCUUUUUGUCACUGAAGUUUGUUCGUUUUUUGUAUUGUUUUCUUGUGUUAGUUUUUUGUUUGCAUUUUGGAAUUUAUUAAUUUUGUUGCUUUUUACAAUAUUUCUUGUCUUGUCUGCAUUUUGGAAUUUUGUGGUUUCAUUUAAUCUAUUUCAACUCAGGUGAUUUUUAUUCCAGAAAAAAUCUAAAGCUUCUGCCGAAAGAUAUCUUUUUGCCCAAAAGUUGUUUAAUUUGGAUUUUGGUUUGACUCCUAAAAACAACGAAAUAUGUUUGGGUUAUCAUUUAAGAUUAAUUUUGCUGUGCCUUAAGUGUAAAAUUUUUAAUUUUGAAAUUUUAUGUAUAUAUAUUUUUUUUGUAAUAUAUUACUAGACAAAGUUUUUAAUUUGGAAUUUAGGUUUUUUGUUUUUCUUAAAAUUUUCUUAAUUUAGUUUUACGUUUGC